GGCUUUGUGGAAUGGCAGUAUCAUAGCCAAUGAGAUUUAUCUGAGGCACGAUUAUUGCUAAUUGAACAAAAAGGGGGGCGGUUCUUACUUUGAUAUCAGUAGUUCCCCGUUUCUACCAGACUAGAGUUUUUCAUGUCUGUAUG
rnacentral:snRNA from 1 species